UACGUAGGGUGCGAGCGUUAAUCGGAAUUACUGGGCGUAAAGCGUGCGCAGGCGGUUUGUUAAGAUAGGCGUGAAAUCCCCGGGCUCAACCUGGGAACUGCGCUUAUGACUGGCAAGCUAGAGUACGGCAGAGGGGGGUGGAAUUCCACGUGUAGCAGUGAAAUGCGUAGAGAUGUGGAGGAACACCAAUGGCGAAGGCAGCCCCCUGGGUCGAUACUGACGCUCAUGCACGAAAGCGUGGGUAGCAAACAGGAUUAGAUACCCUGGUAGUCCACGCCCUAAACGAUGUCAACUAGGUGUUGGGAGGGUAAAACCUUUUAGUACCGGAGCUAACGCGUGAAGUUGACCGCCUGGGGAGUACGGCCGCAAGGUUAAA
rnacentral:rRNA from 1 species